GUUAUAUGGUCAAGUGAAGAAGCGCAUACGGUGGAUGCCUUGGCAGUCAGAGGCGAUGAAAGACGUGGUAGCCUGCGAAAAGCUUCGGGGAGUCGGCAAACAGACUUUGAUCCGGAGAUGUCUGAAUGGGGGAACCCAGCCAUCAUAAGAUGGUUACCUUACACUGAAUACAUAGGUGUAAGGGGCGAACCAGGGGAACUGAAACAUCUAAGUACCCUGAGGAAAAGAAAUCAACCGAGAUUCCCUUAGUAGUGGCGAGCGAACGGGGACUAGCCCUUAAGUGGCUUUGAGAUUAGCGGAACGCUCUGGAAAGUGCGGCCAUAGUGGGUGAUAGCCCUGUACGCGAAAAUCUCUUAGUCAUGAAAUCGAGUAGGACGGAGCACGAGAAACUUUGUCUGAAUAUGGGGGGACCAUCCUCCAAGGCUAAAUACUACUGACUGACCGAUAGUGAACUAGUACCGUGAGGGAAAGGCGAAAAGAACCCCGGAGAGGGGAGUGAAAUAGAUCCUGAAACCGUAUGCGUACAAGCAGUGGGAGCCCACUUUGUUGGGUGACUGCGUACCUUUUGUAUAAUGGGUCAGCGACUUAUUUUCAGUGGCGAGCUUAACCGAAUAGGGGAGGCGUAGCGAAAGCGAGUCUUAAUAGGGCGUCUAGUCGCUGGGAAUAGACCCGAAACCGGGCGAUCUAUCCAUGGGCAGGUUGAAGGUUGGGUAACACUAACUGGAGGACCGAACCGACUACCGUUGAAAAGUUAGCGGAUGACCUGUGGAUCGGAGUGAAAGGCUAAUCAAGCUCGGAGAUAGCUGGUUCUCCUCGAAAGCUAUGUAGGUAGCGCCUCAUGUAUCACUGUAGGGGGUAGAGCACUGUUUCGGCUAGGGGGUCAUCCCGACUUACCAAACCGAUGCAAACUCCGAAUACCUACAAGUGCCGAGCAUGGGAGACACACGGCGGGUGCUAACGUCCGUCGUGAAAAGGGAAACAACCCAGACCGUCAGCUAAGGUCCCAAAGUUAUGGUUAAGUGGGAAACGAUGUGGGAAGGCUUAGACAGCUAGGAGGUUGGCUUAGAAGCAGCCACCCUUUAAAGAAAGCGUAAUAGCUCACUAGUCGAGUCGGCCUGCGCGGAAGAUGUAACGGGGCUCAAACCAUACACCGAAGCUACGGGUAUCACGUAAGUGAUGCGGUAGAGGAGCGUUCUGUAAGCCUGUGAAGGUGAGUUGAGAAGCUUGCUGGAGGUAUCAGAAGUGCGAAUGCUGACAUGAGUAACGACAAUGGGUGUGAAAAACACCCACGCCGAAAGACCAAGGUUUCCUGCGCAACGUUAAUCGACGCAGGGUUAGUCGGUCCCUAAGGCGAGGCUGAAAAGCGUAGUCGAUGGAAAACAGGUUAAUAUUCCUGUACUUCUGGUUAUUGCGAUGGAGGGACGGAGAAGGCUAGGCCAGCUUGGCGUUGGUUGUCCAAGUUUAAGGUGGUAGGCUGAGAUCUUAGGUAAAUCCGGGAUCUUAAGGCCGAGAGCUGAUGACGAGUUGUCUUUUAGAUGACGAAGUGGUUGAUGCCAUGCUUCCAAGAAAAGCUUCUAAGCUUCAGGUAACCAGGAACCGUACCCCAAACCGACACAGGUGGUUGGGUAGAGAAUACCAAGGCGCUUGAGAGAACUCGGGUGAAGGAACUAGGCAAAAUGGCACCGUAACUUCGGGAGAAGGUGCGCCGGUGAGGGUGAAGGACUUGCUCCGUAAGCCCAUGCCGGUCGAAGAUACCAGGCCGCUGCGACUGUUUAUUAAAAACACAGCACUCUGCAAACACGAAAGUGGACGUAUAGGGUGUGACGCCUGCCCGGUGCCGGAAGGUUAAUUGAUGGGGUUAGCUAACGCGAAGCUCUUGAUCGAAGCCCCGGUAAACGGCGGCCGUAACUAUAACGGUCCUAAGGUAGCGAAAUUCCUUGUCGGGUAAGUUCCGACCUGCACGAAUGGCGUAACGAUGGCGGCGCUGUCUCCACCCGAGACUCAGUGAAAUUGAAAUCGCUGUGAAGAUGCAGUGUAUCCGCGGCUAGACGGAAAGACCCCGUGAACCUUUACUAUAGCUUUGCACUGGACUUUGAAUUUGCUUGUGUAGG
rnacentral:rRNA from 1 species